UCUUUGGGAGAGUUCUUUCACGGAGGGUUUGAUCCUGGCUCAGAGCGAACGCUGGCGGCGUGGUUGAGGCAUGCAAGUCGAGCGAUUGUCUUGGCCUGAAGGGGUUGAAGUCGCAAGACGGAUGUCCCAGAGGAUCAGGACGAUAGCGGCAAACGGGUGCGUAACACAUGGGUAAUCUACCCUGAAGCGGGGGAUAACGUUCCGAAAGGGACGCUAAUACCGCGUAAGCUCACCGGACCGCAAGGUCCAGGGAGAAAAGCCGGGGAUCCGCAAGGACCUGGCGCUUCGGGAGGAGCCCGUGGCCUAUCAGCUAGUUGGCGGGGUAACGGCCCACCAAGGCGUAUGACGGGUAGCUGGCCUGAGAGGGUGGUCAGCCACACUGGGACUGAGACACUGCCCAGACUCCUACGGGAGGCUGCAGUCGAGGAUCUUCUCCAAUGGGCGCAAGCCUGAGAAUGCGACGCCGCGUGCGGGAUGAAGGCCUUCGGGUCGUAAACCGCUGUCAGGAGGGAAGAAUACCUGGCCCGUGAAUAACGGGCUCGGUUGACGGUACCUCUAGAGGAAGCCACGGCUAACUCCGUGCCAGCAGCCGCGGUAAGACGGAGGUGGCGAGCGUUGCUCGGAUUCAUUGGGUGUAAAGGGUUGGUAGGCGGCUCCGCACGUCUCGUUUGAAAUCCUGGAGCUUAACUCCAGAACUGGGCGAGAUACGACGGGGCUCGAGGACCAGAGGGGCAGACGGAAUUCCCGGUGUAAGGGUGAAAUCUGUAGAGAUCGGGAGGAACACCAGUGGCGAAGGCGGUCUGCUGGCUGGUUUCUGACGCUGAGCAACGAAAGCGUGGGGAGCAAACAGGAUUAGAUACCCUGGUAGUCCACGCUGUAAACGUUGAGGACUAGGUGUGGGUCCCCUCUGGGGAUCCGUGCCGACGCUAACGCAUGAAGUCCUCCACCUGGGGAGUACGUCCGCAAGGAUGAAACUCAAAGGAAUUGACGGGGGCCCGCACAAGCGGUGGAACAUGUGGUUCAAUUCGACGCUACGCGAAGAACCUUACCUAGGUUUGACAUGCGAGAAGUAGGGAACUGAAAGGGGACCGACUCGUUAAGUCGAGAGCUCGCACAGGUGGUGCAUGGCUGUCGUCAGCUCGUGCUGUGAAGUGUUGGGUUAAGUCCCGCAACGAGCGCAACCCUCGCCCUUAGUUGCCACCCGGCCGCAAGGCCGGCGCACUCUAGGGGGACCGCCGGUGAUGAACUGGAGGAAGGUGGGGAUGACGUCAAGUCAGUACGCUCCUUAUGCCUAGGGCUACACACGUGUUACAAUGGCGCAUACAGAGGGUUGCCAACCCGCGAGGGGGAGCUAAUCCCACAAAGUGCGCCUCAGUUCAGAUUGGAGGCUGCAAUUCGCCUCCAUGAAGUCGGAAUCGCUAGUAACGGCGGAUCAGCUACGCCGCCGUGAAUACGUUCCCGGGCCUUGUACACACCGCCCGUCAAGCCACCUGAGUUGGUUGCACCCGAAGCCGGUAGCUCAACCCGCAAGGGAGGGCGCCGUCGAAGGUGCGGCUGGUAAGGGGGGCUAAGUCGUAACAAGGCAGCCGUACCGGAAGGG
rnacentral:rRNA from 1 species